GCUGAGUGAGUUCCAUCCCUGGGACAGGGUUGCGUGGAACCCUGAGGAGGAAAACAGCAAUGAUGGGUACCAGCCGGAGCAACCUCCCUCUCCGACUCGGGCUCUCCUCCUGAGCCAGGCUCACUGCUUCCCGAACUUUCUUCCCUGAGGAUGAGUUCUCUUCCCAGCUGGCCUCAGCUCCUCUGAAGGGGGCCGUUGACCUGACUCACAGAGACCUUGGGUAUCAGACUCUUUUCCUCAUUCUACAGCUUUGAAUUAAUACCUGGGGACUCUGCAUAUGUCUCUCUAAGAGCUACCCCCAACGUCAGGCUUGCUGGAUACGAUAUAUUAUACCAGGAACAUUGGUGUUUUGUCAUCACUGCCACCUGCUGUUGCCACUCUAUUUUGCCACACACAUUUCUGCUUCUACAUCAGCCACAAGACGCUGUUGCUUAUCAAUCGUCAGAGACUAUUUGUCAGUCAACUGUUUUCAUUUGUCUGGAGAGAAUGUUUGUUUUAGUAACUGAGAGCUGAAUAAUAAAGAUUUG